GUGCAGGGAGGGGAGGGGUGGGAACCAGGGGGCGGAGAGGGGUGAGCAGAAAGGUAGGGCAGGUGGGUCGAGAGAGGUGUUAGGAGAGGGGAUUGGGGAGAGGUGGGUGCCAGGGGGUUAGAGUGGGGCUAGAGGAGGGGUGGGCACAGGGUGGUGAGGGAAGGGGUGGGUGCCAGGGGUCAGAGAGGGAGAGGGGCAGGUGUCAGAAGGACUGAGGGGAGUAAGAAGGGUGAAAGCCAGGACAGCAGAGGAGGGUGAGGGAUGGGGUGGCAAUCAGAUGGUAGGGGGGGUGAUGGUAGUGGUAGGCACCAGGGAAGCAGAUUGGGGUGAGGGGAGGAGUAGGAGACAUGGCAGCAGAGGAGGGAAAGGGGAGAGGUGGAUGCCAGGACAUAGUGGGGGUUUGAAGUGAUGGGAGGGCUCCAGGCUGCAGAACAUGUUUGGGGGAGAGAGGCAGAUGCCAGGAUGGCAGGGGGAGAAGGGAUGGGGAGUUCCAGCGGGGCAGAGUUGAGUGGAGGGCAGGGGCACAUGCCAGGGAGGCAAAGUGGGAGUAGAGGGGCAAGGGCCCAAGGGAGUAGAAAGGGAGUGAGAAGAAAGGGAGGAAUGUAGGUGAGAGGUCAGAAUAGACACAGGGUCCAGGGUCCCUCACAGGGGUGAAGGAAGGGUAAGGGAGGGGUGGGAGCCAGAGAGGGGUGAAGGAGAGGAAGGCCCCAGGGAAUCUCUGCUUUUUUCGGGCCAUGUGUGACUGGUGUGUUGCUAACAGCAGAUCGGUGCUGUCCCCACACACACUGGGGUUGCAGCCCUGCCCCAGGGGGAGCAGCUGGGACUCUCCAUGCUGGCGGGCUCCACAGGCCCCACCUUCCAGCCACAAAAACCCCACAGCCAUCCCCUCCCCUUGCCAGGCUGAGCUCCACUCCCACGGGGGCAGUUGUCUGGACUGGGCUCACUUGGGGGGCAUUACAAUGGAAGAUUCUGGGGGGAGGGGUGUAUAAACACAUACUAAUGAGCUGUUGCUAAUGACGCCAGGGCAGUGGGGAGGGGAGGGGGCAUUUCCCCACUUACUGCCCCCUCCAUCUGGGAGAAGUUGCACUGGGGACCAGUCCCAGUUCACACCUGCACAGUGCAUCUGCACUAGGGGUUUGCACCAGUGCAGCUACAUCAGUGCAAGGAAACCCCGUCAGACAUGGCCUGAGACACUGCUGUGCCAGGGGCCUGACCCACUGGGCUGCAGAGUCAUUCUCACUCCCAUGCUCUGGCCCAGUGCCCAUGGCAGUGUUUAGACACAAGGGAACAUCAUCAGACACCUGAGGCCCAGUGGUUCAAGCCCUCAUGGCAUCAUACAGGGGGAUUGAACCUGGGGCUCCCAGCUGAGGGCCCAGCCACUGCCCUAAAGGCUAGAAGGGAAGCGGCAGCACCUUUUUCUCUUAAUUGAAACUAGUCAGCAAACUUGACACGGAUUCACGAAUAGUUUCUCUUGACCCAAAAUAUAAUUUUGCAGCAAAUAAACUAUUUGUCCAAAACAUUUCACCCAGAUCCACUGCAAACCUGUCUGAGCAACUUAGGAGCCCCAAUCCCAGUGACUUGCAAUGAGAGACUGCUGAGGUGAAAGUAA